AACUAUAAAGGGGGACGGACGGACGGAAGGACGGGCGGCCAGACGGAAUGACAGGUGGACAGACGUACAGGGGUAGUUGAGGGGGGCAGAAAAAAUAUAGCUUCAAUUACAUCUUUUAUUGCGUCAACUUGUAGACAGUAACCCUGAUGAUUUCUAUUUUUAAGUUUUUACCAUUUUUGCGUUCAUGUACUUACAAUGUAUUUUUGUCUGAAUUAGUAAUUGUUU
rnacentral:lncRNA from 1 species